rnacentral:rRNA from 1 species
GACGAACGCUGGCGGCGUGCCUAAUACAUGCAAGUAGAACGCUGAAGGAGGAGCUUGCUUCUCUGGAUGAGUUGCGAACGGGUGAGUAACGCGUAGGUAACCUGCCUGGUAGCGGGGGAUAACUAUUGGAAACGAUAGCUAAUACCGCAUAAGAGUAGAUGUUGCAUGACAUUUGCUUAAAAGGUGCAAUUGCAUCACUACCAGAUGGACCUGCGUUGUAUUAGCUAGUUGGUGGGGUAACGGCUCACCAAGGCGACGAUACAUAGCCGACCUGAGAGGGUGAUCGGCCACACUGGGACUGAGACACGGCCCAGACUCCUACGGGGGGCAGCAGUAGGGAAUCUUCGGCAAUGGACGGAAGUCUGACCGAGCAACGCCGCGUGAGUGAAGAAGGUUUUCGGAUCGUAAAGCUCUGUUGUAAGAGAAGAACGAGUGUGAGAGUGGAAAGUUCACACUGUGACGGUAUCUGACCAGAAAGGGACGGCUAACUACGUG